ensembl:lncRNA
GCGCUCCCUCGCGCGACACGCCCCACAGGACUCCUCCCUCCUCCCCUCCUCCCGGGAGGCGGGGAGCCUGCCCGCCGCCCCCCACCCGGAGAGGACCGGCUAACUUCUCCGGCUUGAAAGGCCCAAGUCCCUGGGGACCGGGCCGGGAGGCUGGGACUUGAAACCCACGUCCGAGUCCUAGGCCUUCUGCGCGCCGCCCCCUGACCCGCUGCCCGCGGGCCAAAGCCGGACGGAGCCCUCUGGUCUCGAUACCUACCCCGGCAAUCCAUCCCCCCUACCCCACCCCUGCCGCUGCCGCCCCGCAGCCAAGAGGACGCUCCUCACCGCCCAGCUCCUGGGCUGGGAAUGGAAAACGCUGGCAUUAAUCUCAUUGUUUGCUGCAGGCAGAGUACGAGCUGGCCCUAGAGCCUCACCUGGCCUCCUCAGACCUGCUUUCCAUCAAACGGUGCUCACCUGUUUGGAAACGUGGCAGGCAUUCUCAGCCCACCCACACCCCCACACCCCCAAGCUGGUUCUGCUACAAGUCUAAUCAAACCCUAAACCGGAAGGUUCUGGACCCACCCCCCAGCCCCAACUGCCGCGUGGGCGGGGCGGGGGAGGGGCGCGCUGGCAGAUUCAGGGUUGACCUUGGAAAUCUUCUGGCCCAAACUCACUUUCUGGCCCCAAAUCUCCUUCUGCACAAAGGGAAACUGAGGCCCAGAGAAGGACAGUCACUUGGCAUGCGGCUGGGGGGUGCCCCCAGAUCCAGAGAUAACUCCCAGGUCACAUGGAAUAAAGGUAGCCAAGGACCCCCUAAGUCUCUUGACAGAAACUCAGACCUCUCUAGGACCCCGUCUCCACGUAGCCACCUGAAAACUGGAAAUGGCACCAUCAUCCCUGCUUUUAUGUGAAGAGACAAUGUGCAUUUUUAAGAAGACCCAGCAGGGAGCAGGCAUUUUUAUUCCAAAGAGAUACCACAGAUAAAAAGAGCUGAAGAGAGUCAGGGUCAGACAUAGUUUGACAUUUGUCAUUUUCUAACCAGUGAUGGGUAAAGUCUACAGAACGGCUGCUGUUGCUGCUGCUCUAACAAUAACGCAUUCAAAUGAGCAAGGAAACCAUUAAACCUGGACAGACAUUCCGAGCCCCUCGCUGAAUCCAGGCUGCACAGGCAGCGCAGGGGGUUGGCCUUUCCCAUGUCCCUCUCUGCUGACAUCUUCCCUCACCCAGACUGACUUUCCAGAAUUCAGACGGCCAGGCCGUUUUCUUAAUUCUCCGAGUACACAGCAUGCAUGCAGCUUGGUGGGUGGGGGUCGGGGGAGGACGCACAGGAACUGGUAGAAAUGAUAAAGAGGCCCUUGCCUGCACUUCCACUUCCACUGCCUCCAAGAGAACCUGUCCUUUCUGCCCUUGACUCUUCAGGGUCAAGGUAAGGAGGCAGCUACACAAUGUAUCAAGAGAAAUUUAUUUUCAUGUCAAAUCUCCAAUUUAAAUGCACUCACGUGGGACUUCCCUGGUGAUCCAGUGGUUAAGAAUCUGCCUGCCAGUGCAGGGGACAUGGGUUCAAUCCCUGGUCCUAGAAGAUCUCACAUGCCGUGGACCAACUAAGCCCGUGCACCACAACUAUUGAGCCUGUGCUCUAUAGCCCGGGAGCUGCAACUGUUGAAGCCCAUGUGUCCAGAGCCGUUGCUCUGCCAUAAGAGAAGCCACCAUAAUGAGAAGCCUGAGCACCGCAACUAGAGAGUAGCCCCGGCUUGCCUCAACUAGAGAACAGCCCACACGCAGUCAUGAAAACCCAGCACAGCCAAAGAUAAGUAAAUAAAUAAAUAAUUUACUUACA